UACAACCCUUGUACGCCUCUUCAUGAAAAUUAAGCGUUCAGAUUCUUGGGCCCUCUCGGUAGCAUUGCUUUCUUCUGUAGUUGCAAAGAGCAGUAAAUAUAGCAGUGCAAGCAAGCCAUGCAGCUCUACCUUCUGAAGUCUACUGGAACUCAGUGCUGCCAAACACUCCAGUGCCAAAAGCUUUCCGGGAUAUUCACCAGCCAGACUUCAUGGAAGACAAAAGCACUUCUGCAAGUGGAGGCCGGGAUGAGUUGGGUAAAUGUUGAUGCAGCGAAAGGAAAACCUGGGGGUGUAUCUGUGAGUAAAGCGCACAAGGGAAAGCUCCAUUGUGUUAACUCAACCACACAUGAACAGAAAUAAAAAAGGAUGAGAUUUUAACGUAUUUUGGGGAUGAUCCUUAAGUCCGUUGAAUGCACCAAUGCUUAAAAAUCCACUGGUCAAACAAAGACAAAAAAUUAUAAUGGUUGUAGUUCACACAAUUCUCUCUCUUAGACUAAACCUUCAACCUCAUCAUUCAAUAAAAAGAAAAAAUUUACUCCUGUAAUAAAA